GAUCGCAGUCAGAGAUGUGAUA
rnacentral:miRNA from 10 species